rnacentral:piRNA from 1 species
UGAGUCAUCUCUUUUAGCUCUAAGAAUGGU